UUGCACCUUUUACACUCUCACCUAGUGCAGUGACGCCAUAACAACGGAGUAAGAAACUCAAAAGAUGAUGAAUCUCAAACAGUAGAAGAGCGGUCCAGAUCUGGAAUCCACUAGUACAAGCUAUCUUGAGUGGGAAAUAUAUCAAGCAUUUGUACAAAAGCUAAUGCUAUCAGUAGUACUUAGGGUGUGUUCGGUACAGAGGAAAAUAUUUUUCAAUUUUGUAAUAUUUUGUUGGUCAAAAUUUUUUAAAUUUUUUUUAUAGAAAAACAAGUUACUUAAGAAUGGGGAAAAUGACUUCCCUAAUGGAAGUAUGGAAAACAAGUUCAACAAGGGGCAUUCUACAUUGAUUAUUUGAUAGUUGUAACCCCCACCCUCCAACACACCUCAUCUUGACCGCCAUCCUCGUAGCCCCCUAUCCCCACCACUUCACACCCGUACCCUCACCCCAAUCUCCCAUAGUAUUUGAGUUAAUCAUAAUUAAUGCUUUUACAAUAAUACUUCUUAUGCUUUUACAAUAAUACUUCUUACUUACGUACCAAACACAAAAAAAAAGUAAGAAACCCAUUUAUUUUCUUGAAAAUUAUUUUUCACUAAAUACAUUUUCCUUUGUACCAAACACACCCUUACUUUAUGAAUGGCGCCAUUAGUAGUACCAUAUGUGGUCGUAGACCCUGUAUCAGUUUAAAAUAGAUUUUUUUUUUAAAAGAACAAAACAAAACCAACAAAAGAAAAUAAAGACAGACAAAAGUUUUGUUUCCUAAUCCUCAAAGAUAUCGAUCGAAUUUGCCCUAAAUAUUUUCCACUUUCUUGAAAUUUUCAACUCCGCCGGACCUUCUUCGGAGAACAAAUCAAGUGUGACAGAGAUGAAAAACCUCCCCAGAGGCGACAGAGCUAAACUCAUCGAUUUCCAGCGCUUAGAUCCACCUUCAAAGCUUGAAGGUUUGGCAAAACAAACAAGGGAGGAACGUCAAAAAACAUGGGAUGAUCAUAGUAGUCUUGCUUAGCUCCUUCCUUUGCACAGCAGAUUCUCUGUUCUUAAUCAUUCGACGUUGUCUCUUCUCCGUUAAUGCUUGAUCAUCAUAUGAUGACCUUCUUCUUCUUCUCCCACUGCUUGGUGGUUCACUAACAUCUGAUGCACUGUUGGGUAUUUCAUU